UAUACCUCUGGGGUUCACUCCAACAUGUGCUUAUCGAAUUUUAUAAUGCAUAAUUGCAUAUAACUUGACAGCCAGGAACUCCAUUACCAUGGGGCUUUUCCUUUCGAAUGCACCCAAAAGCAUCAUGCUUCUCUCUCUCUUACCAAAAGCUGCAGUUUCAGCUCACAUUCCACCGCCAGAAAACCCCCCCAGAAAAUUGUUCCAAUUCCAAGCUAGUUGCGUUGACUUUUCGGAUCGAUCGAUUUUCAAUCCAUAAUUUUCAUGGGGUUUGAACUCGGGCGGUUCGAAGCAGUAACAACAAGGUUGUAUUUUCAUUUAUACUAUGUCUUAAUUUUGGUCAGUGAGAUCAGUGGCCGCUCCGGCAGAAGCUGUUUCUGGGGCUCAGAGAAAGUAUUACUUGUUAGGUGGGAAGUCACUUGCUAUGGGCAUCCCACUCCUUGAGUAUUCACAUUUCUUUUCCUGCAAAGUUGAACUUAACUGGUUGUAAAUAGUAUUCGUGUAUGUACACAAACAUAUUAUAGUUAUACAUGUUCUUAUCGUAGGAUUUGGCCAGUUGAAGGGCCCGAAGCUCCGGGUUUUGCUCUAGAGGUGUGUAUGAUUAGCUUUGUAUACGAUGAUGGUUGAAGUUAGGAGAGUGAAAACUGGGAUAAUUACUAGACACAUCUCCCCCUGAUUUGGAUGAAGCUAUUGCAAUUUCCAAGGUGAGCAAAUAUUGAUGCUGUUUCCAGUUGCUUGGAGGUUGGCUAAAUAUGUUCAAUGUUGGAUGAAAAAUGUGCUUCUCAUCGAUUGUUCGCACUUUUUUUCUUCUUCUUGUUCUUCC